GGAGCGAUAUCGAAGUGGUCAUAACGGGGCUGAUUCGAAAUCAGUUUGAGCGCAAGCUCACGUGGGUUCGAAUCCCACUCGCUCCGCCA
rnacentral:tRNA from 1 species